rnacentral:rRNA from 1 species
UACAGAGGUCCCAAGCGUUGUUCGGAUUCAUUGGGCGUAAAGGGUGCGUAGGCGGCGCGGUAAGUCGGGUGUGAAAUCUCGGAGCUUAACUCCGAAACUGCAUUCGAUACUGCCGUGCUUGAGGACUGGAGAGGAGACUGGAAUUUACGGUGUGGCGGUGAAAUGCGUAGAUAUCGUAAGGAAGACCAGUGGCGAAGGCGGGUCUCUGGACAGUUCCUGACGCUGAGGCACGAAGGUCAGGGGAGCAAACGGG